GGUAAUUGUCCUCAAUCUUCACUUGAUGCUUCUCUCUCCUGCCGUUGUUUCUCUCUCUAUUGGCUGCAUCUAUCUCGCGCGUAAUCUCCCCCAGUUCGCGCGUGAUUUGUGAACAAACUUGAGAGAUCUAGUGUCAGUUCGUAAAGACCAUGUUGUUAGUUAUUGCAAGAAGUUAGUUUGCUCUUGGCGGCUUUAGGGACCUCCAAAUUUUAGAAGUUUCUGGGAUUGCUGCGUUGCUGUUGCCUGGUUUCUUUGCCACAAGUUGUUUUUGAAGAAGGAAGUUGUUAUUUUGUUGGCUCUUUGCUGACUGGUGCGGCUGGCUUAUGUGGGGAUCUAGUGUAGAUUGCUUUUAUUUGUAGAUUAGUUGUGUGCGGAAGUGGCAUUGUCUUUGUGUUUUCGAAAUUUCUAGUCAGAUCUGGUGCUUGAAGAAUUCUGUUAUGAGUGUUCCUGUGGAGGAGUAUUUUUAAUUCUUGGCAGGGAGUUUUUGGUUGCUUUAGAGGUCUGGUAUGGAAGUUAUUCUCAUUCUUGCUAUGGCUGGGUUGUUCUGGGUCUCGUGUUCUUGUUGCUGCUGUGAUUGAGUUCUGCAAAUCGAGAUAUUUUUGGCUGAAUUUAGGAGAAUUUUUAUUUUUAGUCAUAUUGAUUAUUUGUUUGUUGUGGCAGUUGCAGUUUCGACAAGUCCAGGGGCGUUGUUGCUUGGGUGUUUCUAGUUUUGUGUAUUUUCUGCAUGUUGUGUUUUUUCAGUGGAGUUGGCCGUGGGUUUCGGGUUGGAGUUUUAUUGUUUUCUCUGGGAAGACUUGCCUGCUGUGCUUGGUAGUCGUUUAUUUAAAUUAUUUCAGCUGCUUUUGUCUCCUCUGGGAGUCUAAUGUUGAGGGUUUUAAUGUUAAUCAAUUCUUCUGCUCCAUUUUAUGCUUCCGAGGCUGCUGCUAUUUUAUUGAUUGGGGUUCAGGAGUUGGUGUUUUAUUUGUAAAUCAAUGUAUCUGGUUCAUAAUUUAGGUGGUAGCUCCCUUGAUUGAUUUAGAGGUGGAGCAGCUGUGUGGGAGGUCUAGCACUCAUAAUCAAUGGAGUGAUUGCUUUUUAUCUAUCUGGAGGUGUUCGCUUGUGUUCAUCUGGUUGGCUUUUUUUUUUCUUUUCUCCGUUGGAGGCUUUGUAUUUUCAACUUUUAGUAUUGUUUUGGUGUUGCCUCUUUGAGUGAUGUUCUUAGAGGGAUUUUUUUUUUGAGUGGACUCCUCUCUUUGUAUUUUUUUCUAUAUAUGUUAUAAAGUGAGGUGCCGUCCUCAAUUACCCAAAAAAAAUAAUUACG